rnacentral:rRNA from 1 species
AGGGUUGUAAAGCACUUUAGUUGGGGAGGAAAGCCUCAAGGUUAAUAGCGUUGGGGGUGGACGUUACCCAAAGAAUAAGCACCGGCUAACUCCGUGCCAGCAGCCGCGGUAAUACGGGGGGUGCAAGAGUUAAUCGGAAUUACUGUGCGUAAAGGGUCUGUAGGUGGUUUGUUAAGUCAGAUGUGAAAGCCCAGGGCUCAACCUUGGAACGGCAUUUGAUACUGGCAAACUAGAGUACGGUAGAGGAAUGGGGAAUUUCUGGUGUAGCGGUGAAAUGCGU